UACGUAGGGUGCGAGCGUUGUCCGGAAUUAUUGGGCGUAAAGAGCUCGUAGGCGGCCUGUCGCGUCGGUUGUGAAAGCCCGGGGCUUAACCCCGGGUCUGCAGCCGAUACGGGCAGACUAGAGUUCGGCAGGGGAGACUGGAAUUCCUGGUGUAGCGGUGAAAUGCGCAGAUAUCAGGAGGAACACCGGUGGCGAAGGCGGGUCUCUGGGCCGAUACUGACACUGAGGAGCGAAAGCGUGGGGAGCGAACAGG
rnacentral:rRNA from 1 species